AUAGGUCCAACCUCGUUUUCCCCAAUAAUUGAUGCGGCAAUUGACAUUGUUGAAAAAAACAAUGGACAAUACCAUGUUCUUGUCAUUAUAGCAGACAGACAGGUUACCAGAAGCCCUGAUACUCUACCUGGAAGAUUCAGUGCCCAAGAACAAGCGACUGUAAAUUCCAUAGUUGCUGCUAGCAAAUAUCCUCUGUCAAUUAUCUUGGUUGGAGUUGGGGACGGACUGUGGGAUGCAAUGCAUCAAUUUGAUGAUAACAUUCCUCAACGAGCAUUUGACAACUUCCAGGUACGUAAUUAAGUGGCACUCAGAGUUAAUUUUUAUUUCCAUUCGAUAGCUUGUAUCCCACGAUAAUGCAGAUCAUCUUUGUCUUGUAUAGGUUGGUUAUAUAAUCAAUAUUUAACAUUUUGGUGGCUUCCUAGUCAUGUGCUGAUUUUAUUGAUAUGACUGAAGAUAAGUUAUGAGUUCUCUCUGUGAGGAAUGAACCAUAUUAGUUUCUUGCCUUUUUGUUGAUGGUGGUGCUCUUUGAAGCAUGGU